GAAUAGUUUGAUCAUAUAUGGAAUUGUGUUUAUGUCCAUUGAUAGACAGGUUGUCUAAAAAAAAAAAAAAGAAGAGUGAUGUGAUGUUGAGAUACGCUGUCUGCGUAGUGACGUAAGCACCCACUAGUGGACAAGAGCAGUACAGUUCCGCCUGAUGUAUGAAGCAGAUGCAUGCAAGUGAUGUCCGUCAGUAAAGCAUCCAAAUCAAUCUAACUGUCUCGUUAUUGAACAAACAACAAUCGACACACGGAAACAUUACACUCACCCUCGUAAGCCUCAUUCCCAAUCCGGGUCACGGCACCAAUGAAGGCUGUGCUGUGUAGACAGCAAAGUUAAAACCUUGGAUGUGGGAGGCAGGCAUGCUAGCAAGUAGGCGGAAACCCAUGGGUACUAGCCUCUAUCACUAGUGCAUCUCCAAAGGUGUCUGGAGACAUUUUCUUCACACUGCUGCUGGCUACAAUUUCACAGGAAAUCGAGAGAAAGAAACUUGGCCUGUUCACAUGGGAGACUUGAGAGUUUGUUUUGUUCUAUCGGGUCUAUUUGUUGUUACUUACUUAUUUUAUUGAGGGGGGAAGUGGUUUUAAGAUGUGGUCUAUGAUAUAAUACGAAUUUUUACAUUUUACUUUGCUUCUUCGUGUCAUUAGGUUCAAGAGCAGGUAUAUACAAAAGGAUUAGCAACUAAGGACUCGCAUGACCACUGUGACUAUCUGGAUUCAUGGCAGCAGAAUGCUAUCAGUCCUGUUGAAGAAUGUGGGGCCUGAUGUACUGAAGAAUGGCAUAGCACUGAAAGAGAUGAGGCAGAUAGCCUCAGACCCAGAUGAUGAACACUUUUUUGAAGUUUAAGAGUAUAAAGCGUUGGAAGCCAUUCUGUACUCAUUACAGUUGGCCAUCACUGAAACAGAUCCGGCAUCUUCCACCUCACAGAUGACACUGGAAUAGAUGAUGGUGGCAAUGAUUAUGAUGAUGAUGAUGAUGAUGGUGGUGAUGAUGAUGAAGAGAAGGACAUUUGGUUCCAGUACCUUUGCAUACUCGGUCACAAGUAACCAGAUCCUUGGCAACAGUGAAAUGUUUUUUUAAAACAUAAUUGUUUUUCCAGUGAUAAGGCUUUGGUUGGUCACACAUCCAAUCUCUCUUUCUCAUUUUGGUGCCACCAGAUUAUUCAAGUUGCUGAUUACAUAUCUGAUUAUCUGAAAUAUUCAAUGCAUAAUUUACAGAGUUUUAUUUUAAUCUCUUUCUUAAAUAGUUUUUAAGCAAUGUUGUGUAUUACAUUAUAACAUGUCAGCUUUAAUGUAACUUCUCUAGCGUCUACAUUACCUGCCCCUUUACAUACUUGUUACACACAGUCUUAAGCCAUGAAUACUGAGGGUGACGCCCUUGUUUCUCAGAGAGCAUUUAACAAGCAAGCCUUCAAUGGAUAAAUCAGAUAAUCUUAGGUGAAGCUCUGGGCGAGUGGAACCCAGGCUCUUUUUCACAAUGGUUGGCCACCGUUGUUCAAGAUUAAAACCUGUUUCAUUGACUGACAAAUCCAAGACUGGGUCUCCAAUGGUAUACAAUUAAAUACUGUCAGUGUUCAUGUAAUCCAGUGUCACAAUGCCCUUCUGGGUUCUGCUCCUUCAACUCAAGAUAUAACCGUUAUUACACACUCUGUCUAUGCCAUGUGAUAUUACAUCACGCCACAGUUGUGAAGCUUCCAGGCCAGCUUGCUCUGUAUACUACUGGUAUAUCAUUUGUGCUUUCUGUAUUUUAUGAAUUGUUAGUUUAAAGAAACUUGAAGAUUACUUUUCCAAUAAAUGUUUUGGCAUUCA